ACGAAUUACCGGCGAGGGUUGUAGCUGGCCUUUCGGGGCAUGUGCACGCCCGAGCCUUUAAUCCACGCACACCUGUGAACCCAAUGUAAGGGCCCCGUAAAAGGGUCCCCUACGUCUCAUCCAUCGACGCAUGUCUAAUAGAAUGUAAUUGCCAUAUCCUCGCCUUAAAAAGCGUCGAUAAACUUAUA
rnacentral:misc_RNA from 2 species